CAUUGAAACACUGGUUCUCAUACAAUCACCAAAGUUAAGCAACAUUGACUCUGGUCAGUACCUAGAUGAGUGACUGCUUGGGAAUACCAGAUGCUGUAAG